rnacentral:lncRNA from 1 species
AUCAUGGACUAUUCUUGUAACAGAAUUUAAAGGUUCACUGUACAUGGUAAACUGGAAACCUGAAGAUGUAGCUGGAGAAAAAAGUGAAAUACCUAAGAAUAUAGGAUUCUGGGGACACAAGUUUGAGCAGUAUAUGAAAGCAGAUCCAGAAGACCCUCUGGAUGCCAAUGAGGAGUAUCAG